rnacentral:lncRNA from 1 species
GCUGUGUCUGGGUUUGUUUCAGGAAAUGGUGGCCUGUAAUACGCAGGGCACCUGGGAAGACACUCCGUGGCAGAAUUGGAACACUUUUGGCCUUUCUGGUUCUCAGGCAGGGAAGUUGAAGCUGCAGUAGUGAGAAGAUGAAGGGAACUUUGACCACCUGCUUCUAGAGAUAUACUGCUGCCUGAACUGGGUCAGACAGCCACAGGUGCUUCAAACCACCUUUUAUACCACUCUGGUUGGAAAUAGAACCAUUGGAGACUCAUCUUGUUACCUUCAGCAAAAAUGGAAACAAAUCAAGACUUUGAGAAUGCCAGUGGUCAGCAAAAGCUUGUUAAUAAAGCUUGUAGAGGAAGUCUCCCAGACAGUAUGCCUCCCUUGCCUAAAAUCCAUAGCAGUUGAAGUCACCCCUGUCUCAGCUGCUCCUUAAUC